CGUCAUGGUGGCUGUGCGCAGGGCACCCUAGGGUGCGCCGGUUUCUAGUGUCCGGUCUGCUAACCUGCGUACAGCUGCCACCCAC
rnacentral:antisense_RNA from 1 species